GGUAGAGUGCAGCUCAGUGGUAGAGUGUGUGAUUAGCACACACAAGGUCCUAGGUUCAAUCCCCAGUACCUCCA
rfam:Camelus ferus unplaced genomic scaffold scaffold1107, whole genome shotgun sequence.